rnacentral:lncRNA from 10 species
UUCAUGUAUAUUAUCUAAUUUAAUUCUCAUUACAAUCCUGUGAAGUACAUUUCCUGUUACAGAUAAAAAAACAAUGGUUCAUUUUUGUUUUCUUUUGCAAGAUCACAGAAAUAAUAAGAGCUAGGAAGUAAGUUUUCUGAAUCUAAAUCCCAUGAUCUUUAGUAGAGUAUAACAUAUAGGGAAUAGCCAAAUAAUUAAGAAACAAAUAUCAGCUAUAUUUCAGAUAAGCAAUCUAUUAUUUACAGAAUUAAGAGUUACAUAUAACAUAGUAAAGUCUCAUUCAUAUGUAAUAAAAUGUGCUUGUAAAAACAUAAAGGUCAAUUAGAAAAAGGGUCAAAAUUGCAAUAUUUUAAGACAGUUUUAGUACUAGUAAACAUGGUGUGUAUGAUAAACUAAAAAGUAAAUGGACAAGAAGUAAAAUACCAGUGAGAUUAUGCUGGGUCAGAUCCAAAGCCAGCACGGCACCGGGUUUCUUGCCUAAGGUCCAUGGUGACCACUCCUUGGCUAUUGCCAAUGUUCACUCAAGGCCCAAGCACUCUUUAUUCAGCUGGUGGCAAAUCCAGCCAGGCUUGUGUUUUUCCCUUCAGUAUGACGAGCUCCCCCUAAGCCCAAGACAAGUCCUAAAAUGUCAUCUGGGAGCCAGGACCUGGAAUCAGGAUCCUUAGGAAUUUACUUGGUGCUGUAUUCUACUAUGGCUGAGCUGGCAAUCAAGUGCAAGAUUAAGCCCUUUAUUUUCUUUGUUCUCCUUUCCUCAAGCAGAUGGAUGCUCUCCCUGUGGUCACCGACACCCCAGGCCUGAGGCAAGUACUGAGACAAGUACUGCCUGGCUACCACCAAUGUUCACUCAAGGCCCAAUGGCUGCUCAGUCAGCUUAUGGUAAAUGUUGCCAGUCCUGUGUUUCUGUCUUCAAAGAAGUGGGCUCCCCUCUGGCCCAGGGUGGGUUCAAAAAUGCCAUCCAGGAGGCAAGGCCUGGAACAAAAGAAGCCCGUUGUUUUUUUUGUUUGUUUGUUUUUUACUGACCUGAUACCCAAGAUGCAAGACAAACUCGUCUUUACUCUUCCCUCUCCUUUCCUCAAGCAGGAGUCUCUCUGCGUGGCCACCACAGCUGGGAAUAUACUAGGUCACACCUGAAACCAACACAGCAUUGGGUGUCACCCAAGGCCUGUGACUUUGAAUGGCUAUGGCACAGGAAAUCAUCACAAUCAGCAAGAAGAGAGAUGAAUGCAACAGUCAGUGCUUAUCUAGGUCACUUCUCCCCAAAAUGUCCUCACAGCUCUAUUUCACUUAAGUUUGGAUGUACCAUUUAAGACAUCAAAGCAUUCUGCAAGUGGGGAAAAAAAAAAACAAGAAAUACCUUAAAAUGCCAGCUAUGUGUGAUUUAAAACAAAAAAUAUUUAAGAUGAGGUUAAAAGUUAUAAACAUUUAUGUACGUUAUUAGUUCUACAUCAACAAAAGAGCACAGUUUCUCUACUGCAAA